GGCUGGAUAGUUCAGUUGGUACAGCAUGAGAUUCUUAAUCUCAUGGUUGUGGGUUCAAGCCACAAACUGGGCCA